rnacentral:rRNA from 1 species
ACUCCUGCGGGAGGCAGCAGUGGGGAAUUUUGGACAAUGGGCGAAAGCCUGAUCCAGCAAUGCCGCGUGAGUGAAGAAGGCCUUCGGGUUGUAAAGCUCUUUUGUCAGGGAAGAAACGGUGAGAGCUAAUAUCUCUUGCUAAUGACGGUACCUGAAGAAUAAGCACCGGCUAACUACGUGCCAGCAGCCGCGGUAAUACGUAGGGUGCAAGCGUUAAUCGGAAUUACUGGGCGUAAAGCGUGCGCAGGCGGUUUUGUAAGUCUGAUGUGAAAUCCCCGGGCUCAACCUGGGAAUUGCAUUGGAGACUGCAAGGCUAGAAUCUGGCAGAGGGGGGUAGAAUUCCACGUGUAGCAGUGAAAUGCGUAGAUAUGUGGAGGAACACCGAUGGCGAAGGCAGCCCCCUGGGUCAAGAUUGACGCUCAUGCACGAAAGCGUGGGGAGCAAACAGGAUUAGAAACCCCAGUAGUCCCA